UACGUAGACCUCAAGCGUUAUUCGGAUUUAUUGGGCGUAAAGAGCAUGUAGGAGGUUUCGCGCGUCUUUUGUUAAAGCCCAGGGCCUAACCCUGGAAGUGCAGGAGAUACGGCGGAACUAGAGGAGGGUAGAGGUGCAUGGAACUCACGGUGUAGGGGUGAAAUCCGUUGAUAUCGUGGGGAACACCAAAGGCGAAGGCAGUGCACUGGGACCUUCCUGACGCUGAGAUGCGAAAGCGUGGGGAGCAAAAAGG
rnacentral:rRNA from 1 species